rnacentral:tRNA from 1 species
GGAAGGGAAUCGUCUCCGGUGGGGCGGCUGGACUUCAAAUCCUGUUGGGGCAGCGAGCCUGUCCCGGGUCGGUUCGACUCCCACUCCCUUCCGCCA